ensembl:snoRNA
UGCAGCCUUGUCAAAUUCAGUGCCUCCUCCUCAUUGGAUGCUACUGGCCAAAAUGGCUGCUACAGUGAAAGUGUGGUUCAUGGGCCCCGCUGCUCUCCAGCGUGGCUGCUGGGGAUAAAUAUGUACUACACACAUGA